rnacentral:rRNA from 1 species
AAUUGACGGGGCCCGCACAAGCGGUGAGCAUGUGGUUUAAUUCGAUGCAACGCGAAGACCUUACCUGGUCUUGACAUCCACGGAAGUUUUCAGAGAUGAGAAUGUGCCUUCGGGAACCGUGAGACAGGUACUGCAUGGCUGUCGUCAGCUCGUGUUGUGAAAUGUUGGGUUAAGUCCCGCAACGAGCGCAACCCUUAUCCCUUUGUUGCCAGCGGUCCGGCCGGGAACUCAAAGGAGACUGCCAGUGAUAAACUGGAGGAAGGUGGGAUGACGUCAAGUCAUCAUGGCCCUUACGACCAGGGCUACACACGUGCUACAAUGGCGCAUACAAAGAGAAGCGACCUCGCGAGAGCAAGCGGACCUCAUAAAGUGCGUCGUAGUCCGGAUUGGAGUCUGCAACUCGACUCCAUGAAGUCGGAAUCGCUAGUAAUCGUGGAUCAGAAUGCCACGGUCGAAUACGUUCCGGCCUU